GCCACAUUUACCUGCUGGAGAAAAGUCAUUACGAAGUCAUUUUAAAUCAUAUUGGUCUAUGUUAUGAGGCUCCCACAGGGUACCCCCCUCAGGUCGCAAGGUCGCUUUUAAAUUCGUCGAGAGGUCGUUUUUAAGGGAAAUGUACAGGUCGCAGGUCGUUUUUUUUCCAACACAGAGGACAGAAGUUGGUCAGAGGUCGUUUUUUCCAAAUUUUACAGGUCGUAGG
rnacentral:lncRNA from 1 species